CCUACGGGUGGCUGCAGUGAGGAAUAUUGGUCAAUGGCCGUAAGGCUGAACCAGCCAAGCCGCGUGAAGGAAGAAGGAUCUAUGGUUUGUAAACUUCUUUUAUAGGGGAAUAAAGGUAUCCACGUGUGGAUAUCUGCAUGUAUCCUAUGAAUAAGCAUCGGCUAACUCCGUGCCAGCAGCCGCGGUAAUACGGAGGAUGCGAGCGUUAUCCGGAUUUAUUGGGUUUAAAGGGUGCGUAGGUUGUUUUUUAAGUCAGCGGUGAAAGUUUGUGGCUCAACCAUAGAAUUGCCGUUGAAACUGGAAGACUUGAGUGUGUGAGAGGUAGGCGGAAUGCGUGGUGUAGCGGUGAAAUGCAUAGAUAUCGCGCAGAACUCCGAUUGCGAAGGCAGCUUACUAGGCCAUAACUGACGCUGAGGCACGAAAGCGUGGGGAUCGAACAGGAUUAGAUACCCUAGUAGUC
rnacentral:rRNA from 1 species